UACAAAGUGGUUUCGAUUCGUCAAGAUGCUCAUCUCCAUGUAAGGGUCGAAGUGAAUAAGCUUAUCUUCUUUUAGUUUCAUCAAUAUCCAAACAAAUGGAAGGUAUUGCUAAGGGGAUGUACCCCGCCAUUCAAGCGGACAUCCUAUCAGAUCUCUCUCCCAUUCAGAGAAAUGGAUGGUACUUGUGUGACAUUCUAACCCAAUGUUCUCACCAACAAGGUUUAUAGCUUACACCGAUGAGAAUUUUUG
rnacentral:misc_RNA from 1 species